rnacentral:misc_RNA from 1 species
GAAAUGCGAUAAGUAAUGUGAAUUGCAGAAUUCAGUGAAUCAUCGAAUCUUUGAACGCACAUUGCGCCCCUUGGUAUUCCGAGGGGCAUGCCUGUUCGAGCGUCAUUACACCACUCAAGCUAUGCUUGGUAUUGGGUGCCGUCCUUAGUUGGGCGCGCCUUAAAGACCUCGGCGAGGCCUCACCGGCUUUAGGCGUAGUAGAAUUUAUUCGAACGUCUGUCAAAGGAGAGGACUUCUGCCGACUGAAACCUUUUAUUUUUCUAGGUUGACCUCGGAUCAGGUAGGGAUACCCGCUGAACUUAA